rnacentral:rRNA from 1 species
AGUGAACGCUGGCGGUAUGCCUAACACAUGCAAGUCGAACGGCAGCACAGUAAGAGCUUGCUCUUACGGGUGGCGAGUGGCGGACGGGUGAGGAAUACAUCGGAAUCUACUUUUUCGUGGGGGAUAACGUAGGGAAACUUACGCUAAUACCGCAUACGACCUACGGGUGAAAGCAGGGGAUCUUCGGACCUUGCGCGAUUGAAUGAGCCGAUGUCGGAUUAGCUAGUUGGCUGGGUAAAGGCCCACCAAGGCGACGAUCCGUAGCUGGUCUGAGAGGAUGAUCAGCCACACUGGAACUGAGACACGGUCCAGACUCCUACGGGAGGCAGCAGUGGGGAAUAUUGGACAAUGGGCGCAAGCCUGAUCCAGCCAUACCGCGUGGGUGAAGAAGGCCUUCGGGUUGUAAAGCCCUUUUGUUGGGAAAGAAAAGCAGCAGGUUAAUACCCCGCUGUUCUGACGGUACCCAAAGAAUAAGCACCGGCUAACUUCGUG